rnacentral:sRNA from 1 species
GGGAAGUUGUGUUAUUUUAUUAAUGGUUUUUUUUUCUUACGUAGUUACUCGUCUCUUUCCAGUUUUGUAUGAAGAUAAGAGACUGUCGUUUUGAGGCGUAAGAAAAAAAGAAAUGAUUCCUCCAAAUUCUUGUUUUAUUUCGUUCUGUUUUUCGAACAGAAGUUCAUCUAUCAGAUUUGUGCUUUGUUCCUCGCGUCUUUUGCUAGAACGAUGCUGCCGAUUCUUCUCCCUCCCCGUCUGAUUGCUUUUGGCAAAGAACUUCGCGGCGAGAGGAUUAAUGUUUAUCAGAAGAUAAGGGAUUAGCGUGAUACUAAUGUUAUCAGAAUGUGUUAUCGCCCAACAUUGUUACCAUUUCAACCUCUCGGCCUUUGUUUAU